ensembl:snRNA U6 U6 spliceosomal RNA
UUGCUUGCUUCGGUGGCACAUAUACUAAAUUUGGAACAAUACAGAGAAGAUUAGCAUGGCCCCUGCAUAAGGAUGAUAUGCAAAUUCAUGAAACAUUCCAUGUUUUA